rnacentral:rRNA from 1 species
AUUGAACGCUGGCGGCAGGCUUAACACAUGCAAGUCGAACGAGUGGCGGACGGGUGAGUAAUGCUUGGGAAUCUGGCUUAUGGAGGGGGAUAACGACGGGAAACGGUAGCUAAUACCGCGUAACAUAGGAUGAGCCCACGUGGGCUUAGGUAGUUGGUGGGGUAAUGGCCUACCAAGCUGACGAUCUCUAGCUGGUCUGAGAGGAUGACCAUCCACACCGGGACUGAGAGACGGCCCGGACCCCGUCGGGAUGCAGCAGUAGGGAAGCUUCGGCAAUGGGGGGAACCCUGACCGAGCAACGCCGCGUGAGUGAAGAAGGUUUUCGGAUCGUAAAGCGCUGUUAAUCGGGAGACGGUACCGGAAUAGUAAGCCACGGCUAACUACGUGCCAGCAGCCGCGGUAAUUC